CCUACGGGUGGCAGCAGUGAGGAAUAUUGGUCAAUGGACGAGAGUCUGAACCAGCCAAGUAGCGUGAAGGAUGACUGCCCUAUGGGUUGUAAACUUCUUUUAUAUGGGAAUAAAAUGUUCCACGUGUGGGAUUUUGUAUGUACCAUAUGAAUAAGGAUCGGCUAACUCCGUGCCAGCAGCCGCGGUAAUACGGAGGAUCCGAGCGUUAUCCGGAUUUAUUGGGUUUAAAGGGAGCGUAGGUGGAUUGUUAAGUCAGUUGUGAAAGUUUGCGGCUCAACCGUAAAAUUGCAGUUGAAACUGGCAGUCUUGAGUACAGUAGAGGUGGGCGGAAUUCGUGGUGUAGCGGUGAAAUGCUUAGAUAUCACGAAGAACUCCGAUUGCGAAGGCAGUUCACUGGACUGCAACUGACACUGAGGCUCGAAAGUGUGGGUAUCAAACAGGGUUAGAUACCCUUGUAGUC
rnacentral:rRNA from 1 species